GAUAUGCUGGUGUGAUUUUCACCAGUAAGUUUUCCUAUUAUAUGUUGAGCUAACUUUUUAGGAUCCUGAGUCUUAGAUGGUUAGAUCAUUGAUUCUUGAGCUUGGAUUGGAAUAGUCAACAAUAGAUUUUCUUUCUUUUAGAAUUAAAGUUUAUAUUUCUCUAUCUAUUAGAAAGAAAUUGACAUUGAUUAUUGAUCUU
rnacentral:lncRNA from 1 species